AUUUGAAUAGCUUAUUAGAUAGAGCAUAGUAUUGAAGAUACUAAGGAAAUAUUAUUAUUUUUAAAUA
rnacentral:tRNA from 1 species